rnacentral:lncRNA from 1 species
AGGAUGCUGUAGACUCUUCAUCUCCCGGGCCGCUUUCCAUUCUCCCCAGCCACCCACCCACCCUCGUCCUCGAAAUCUACAGUACCGGGACCAUUUCCUGAACCUCGUGGCUAUGUGCCCCGUGAGAAGUAGAAAGUGAUGUCACAGAAAGCAGAAUAGCUGCCUUCCUACCUGCGAGGAUUGAUCCUGUACCAGACGGGCAUCCAGGCACCUAGCUACAUCCCCUUUGUUAAUCUUGUAACCAGAAGUAGCGACCUUCAGGACUCGGGUUCCAGACGGAAGCCGAAAAACAAAAGUUUUAUUUUCUGAGCGCUCAGGGAGGCGGCCAGUGCUGGGUCUGAACCUCCUGCGUCCCAGAUAAGAGACUGUAUUGCAUUUCUAAAGGGCGAAACUGCAAGAGAGGCGAGGCUUGGACCCACAGAAGUAUCAAGGAGAAACCGAGAAGGAAACUAAAGAGAUCGUGCUAAGGAGUGUAUGGGUGUGAGUGUGUGCGCCCACUGUUCCCCUCCAUCUCGUCACACCUCUGGUGUCUCAUCUCACUAGAACCUACUUAUUCUACAAAGGAGGGUCAGGAAAGGAUUUGGGGCAAGAUCGAUACUUCUCUGGACGCUGAUGACCGCAGGCUUUCACCUUGCAGAUAAUGGGGUGAGCUGCGGUAAAUUCACUCCGACAGAGCGGGCUCCCCUGGCCUUAAUGAGAUAAUCAAUACUUGUUCUCGGCUUAAUUUCCAUCUAAUUGCUCUUUAACGACGCCGGAUAAUGGGCCGCCUCCUGUGAGGUGGGAGCUGGCUGGGAAUCCGACCCGACUUGGACUCCCUCCUUCUCACCCCCCCGGGUGGGGUGCCCUAACGCAGGUGGAAAGGGAGCACACCGCCUGGCUCGCAACUAGAGCUCCUGGGCGGGCUUCCCCACCUGCCCGUGCGGCCAACCUUUAGUACACCAGGCCUUCGACAAGGAUGCCAGAAAAGGAUCGGUUUGGGCCUAGGAGCCACCCACCCGAUGGGCAGCCUCUGGGCAAGUCCUUUGUUCCUUCUGCUUCCUGCUCUAAGGAAAUUGUUGACUUCCUCGGGUCCUACUUAGGUGCUGUUGCUGUCUGAGGGAAGACUCCAGUCAUCUAUUUUUCCUGUGAGAAGGCUGAGUCCACCUACAGAAGAAUAAGCUGGAGUAGAGGCCUGUAUCAUCAGGCCCAGCUAGAGAUAAGAAUGCUGUUCUCCACUCUGGUUAAAUGGCUCAGCUGGUAAGAGCACUGACUGCUCUUCUGAAGGUCCUGAGUUCAAAUCCCAGCAACCACAUGAUGACUCAUCCCUAAUGAGAUCUAACACCCUCUUCUGGUGUGUCUGAAGACAGAUACAGUGUACAUAGAUAAAAUAAUAAAUACAUCUUUUUUUUU